rnacentral:rRNA from 1 species
AGCGAACGCUGGCGGCAGGCCUAACACAUGCAAGUCGGACGAAGUCUUCGGACUUAGUGGCGGACGGGUGAGUAACACGUGGGAACGUGCCUUUAGGUUCGGAAUAACUCAGGGAAACUUGUGCUAAUACCGAAUGUGCCCUUCGGGGGAAAGAUUUAUCGCCUUUAGAGCGGCCCGCGUCUGAUUAGCUAGUUGGCGAGGUAAAGGCUCACCAAGGCGACGAUCAGUAGCUGGUCUGAGAGGAUGAUCAGCCACAUUGGGACUGAGACACGGCCCAAACUCCUACGGGAGGCAGCAGUGGGGAAUUUUGCGCAAUGGGCGAAAGCCUGACGCAGCCAUGCCGCGUGAAUGAUGAAGGUCUUAGGAUUGUAAAAUUCUUUCACCGGGGACGAUAAUGACGGUACCCGGAGAAGAAGCCCCGGCUAACUUCGUGCCAGCCGCCGCGGUAA